rfam:Stegodyphus mimosarum contig61054, whole genome shotgun sequence.
GCCGUCGUAGUGUAGUGGUCAGCACGCUCGACGCGUAACCGAGAGGUCCGUGGUUCGAUUCCCGGCGAGGACU